AACAGACUCAAAAACAUGCUUAUUCAAGCACUGUUUGACCACUUGAGUAAUGAGACAAUGUAUCCCUCUCAUGUGCAGUAUGUAGAGCUUCUGAGGACUGUCCUUCUGAGUUUUCCUUUUUUGAAGGAGAGUUAUGGCUCUGGAUAUGAUGCUCUGCAUGAGUCUCUCAGGAACAAGUUUAAAAAGGAAAGAAGACCACUAGUAGACGUAGAGGAAAUUGAAAAAAUGAGACAGAAAUACUCAGUUCCAAAUUCAGGAAGAAAAAGAUCAUCAGAUG